CACCCAUGAGGUUAAAAAGGUACUUCUCACUAAUGCAAACAGUUUGUUAAUGCCAUUUGCUGCGUGUAACGUUGUGAAAGAGUGAGAUGAAAUAGGAAGGAUCAAAGAAAGCACAGAUAGCAGUAGUGCGAGUGGAGUAACGUAACAGAUAACAACUGACAUCAAAGCGUGAGGAACUGGUGAGCUGCGGCAUCCCGACGCUGACACCAUCUCUUAAAAGGCAAAGGAGGUAUUGUGCAGGCCCCAAACCUUGGACACAAUUCAGUUACAAUUACUCCUGAAGAUAAACACAUUCUCAUGCACCGUUGUGGGUUUAGCAGUUGAGCAUUCUCCCCAGAAAGCUGGAACCCUAAGAAGGAAAAUAUUUGUUGGCUUUAAUGAAGUAGCGUUCUCCCUUGGAACUGACUGCAGAGCACUGAUAGGCCUGUAUGCCUUCCUAGGGUACAAUUCAAUUUGCAAUAGAUGAAAAGCCAGAAGCCAAACAUGUGAGCCUUGUCAAGUUUGGGUGCUUCACCACAUCUGUCCUGGAGCUACUUCUCCAAAAAACAGUGGGAAGAAGGAAACGGCGUGCACAGGAAUACUGUGCCUGCAUACAGAUUUUGCAACUUUCUUUCAAGGUGCAGGGCUCCAUCACCAAUUCUUAACUUCAACAGCAAGGUGGGAAAGAAGAGUGACAGUACCUCUGAAGGAGAAAAUGCUGAGCGCUGAGCAGCUAGCUCCUAGCCCUUCCGCAAAGGAAGAUGCAACAGGAGCAAAUAUCUAACAAAGACAGAGUCACUGACACAAAUUCCCAGUGGCUGUAAGCAGUACCCCCUCCCUCAGUGUCCUCUGACUGAAGCUGGAUGCCAUUCUGGAAGAUCUUUUUUUUCCUUCUGGAGAAGUAAAUGGACACUCCGCUUAUGAGGUUACCACACAAUGCAGGGGAAGCAGGCACAUGUAGAUCUGCUUUUUUGCAUUCGGCCAAGCCAUCGAACAGGAAACGUGUCUAGGAUGAGGUGCAUGAUGUUCAAGAUUAAAACGAACAGGUUUCCAUCAAAGAACUGCCU
ensembl:lncRNA